GAUGAACGCUGGCGGCGUGCCUAAUACAUGCAAGUCGAGCGAACAGACGAGGAGCUUGCUCCUCUGACGUUAGCGGCGGAAGGGUGAGUAACACGUGGAUAACCUACCUAUAAGACUGGGAUAACUUCGGGAAAACGGAGCUAAUACCGGAUAAUAUAUUGAACCGCAUGGUUCAAUAGUGAAAGACGGUUUUGCUGUCACUUAUAGAUGGAUCCGCGCCGCAUUAGCUAGUUGGUAAGGUAACGGCUUACCAAGGCAACGAUGCGUAGCCGACCUGAGAGGGUGAUCGGCCACACUGGAACUGAGACACGGUCCAGACUCCUCCGGGAGGCAGCAGUAGGGAAUCUUCCGCAAUGGGCGAAAGCUUGACGGAGCAACGCCGCGUGAGUGAUGAAGGUCUUCGGAUCGUAAAACUCUGUUAUUAGGGAAGAACAAAUGUGUAAGUAACUAUGCACGUCUUGACGGUACCUAAUCAGAAAGCCACGGCUAACUACGUG
rnacentral:rRNA from 1 species